UACGUAGGGCGCAAGCGUUGUCCGGAAUUAUUGGGCGUAAAGAGCUCGUAGGCGGUUUGUCGCGUCUGCUGUGAAAACCUAAGGCUCAACCUUGGGCUUGCAGUGGGGUACGGGCAGACUAGAGUGUGGUAGGGGAGAUUGGAAUUCCUGGUGUAGCGGUGGAAUGCGCAGAUAUCAGGAGGAACACCGAUGGCGAAAGGCCAGAUCUCUGGGCCAUUACUGACGCUGAGGAGCGAAAGCAUGGGGAGCGAAACGGG
rnacentral:rRNA from 1 species